GCAGGUUUAAGUUAUGUUUAAACUAUUGGUUUUCAAAACUGAAAAAAAUUCCUGUG
rnacentral:tRNA from 1 species